UUACUCAAAUGAGAGGAGUGGGAGAAGCGACUCCACUGGAAACAGUUAAAAAUGUUUUAAAUGAUAUUAUGGAAUACAGGCAUUAUUUAGCGAGAAUGGAAAAAAAGAAAAAAGUAAAUUUAAGAGCACUCUUUAUUAUAAAUGCAUAAAAGAUACUAUUGUUGGUGACAAAAUUGGUUAUGAUGCAAGCAACAUCGAGGGUGCCAUUGGCGACAUAUUAAAACGACCCAAAAAAUAAUGUUUUUGCUAGAUUGUAUUUAUAUAUUAAUAUUGUCAAAAAUAUUGCUCUUUUAA